CAGUCGGUAAUAAUAAAACUCGCCUUACGAUACCCAACAAAGAAUCACCAAUAGCAAUGACAACACCGAUUCAGAGUGAAAUGUUAAACCCCCAUGUCAGAAGCUUACUUUGAUGUCGCUCGAAAAGGGGCCGCCAUAAAUUGUAGGCCGUUGCCAUUAGCAGGGCAUUUAGUGAUAACGCAAGCGUCGAGGGGGGAUAGGAGGGCGUAAAAGGUACAACGCCAAUCGCGGGGUCGCGGGUCCGCCUACAUCUGUUGGCUCCAUAUAAUCGUUUAUACGGGCGAGCCAGCUGAUGCCGGCCCCUGCCAUAUAACCAACUUGUAUGCAAAUUAUAUUCAUGCAAUGGGAUCUCGUACGAUUACGUAGCCGGUACCAGGGCGCGAGUUUACAGCGGCAACACGCGUAUAAACCUCCGCCGGAUAGAUAGCCGUGUUUCCUCCGUUCGAUUGUAGAAGUGGCCACGUAUGUGUGUCCAGUAUUUCUGUAUACGGUACUCGAUGUUUCGACGUGUUGCGACUCACACGUACACACGUAUACUACACUGGACGCACACGAACUAAACGCAGGAUAUGCGUAGGAUGUAUUUCGGUGUUUCUGUAGGUGAUAUUCGAUGUUUCGACGAGUCUGUCGAUUCACGUGUAUACAUACAAGUGUGCUACAGAGAGAAAACUUAUAUGUGUGUCGCAUAGAAUAUACGUACAAAGUUGAUAUACGCGAGUAUUCACGCCAAAGCACGUAUUGCAAUGUUCCUGGAUGUAUAAGUCGGCUCACAUAUACAUAUAAAGUUACGUUGCAAUGUCAUUUUUGAAUGUAUGUGCACAAAUAUAUACAUAAUACUAUAUAUAUAUAUUUUCGAUAUGUCUAUAAUGAAAUAUAUUAAGCCAAAAUGUCUAUUUUAUGUGCUCUUACAUAUUUAUAUUUAUUUGAUGCUUUAAUAUGUUCAUACACAAGUAAGAAUUAAUAUUUAAACUGUAAUUAGUGAGAAUUAUGUUAAAAAUUUUCUAGGUUAUGAUACAAGUAUUCCACGGAGAAUCGUCUCAUGUAGGCAUUCAAAUCGAAAUGCGUAUUUUCGUGUUUCUAUAUGUGUUAUUCGAUGUUUCUACGUGUCUGUCCACUCACACGUACACACACAAAUACACAGGAACUGAGUGCACGGAGGCACCCAAGCCAAAACGCUGUUGCUGUCUCUCGUUAUGCGCUCACACGCACCUCGCCCACGGACCAGUAUCUGGCCGAUGUUCAAUUAUGUACUGGGCCCAGUAUGCUUACCAGUAAUUUCCCGAAUACCGCGAUAAUCUGUGUUAUUAUCAUAGCGCUUUUACUCCUCUCCCCUCUGAUUCCAUGGCACGACCCUCUUUAUCGCCGCGUUUCCUCGUGUCGUUAUUGCUAUAUCGGCGACUCGUGCCGCCUUCCUACGUUAAUUGGACGAGACCGUGUUACGGUUUAAUUGUCGCUACUCUUAAUUAUGGCCCGUGUACCGAAGCUGUGUCAAGCUCUAAAUUAUCUUUCGAAUUGUUUCCGCGUGACCGGGCCCCGAUAACCGAUCCUGGCGCCCUCUCCCCCCUCCACUUUCAAAUUAACUGGCGAACGCAUUGUUUCUCGUUUCUGGCGAUACGUUGGAUCUCUUGUUAACCUUAUAAAGGGUAUAUGAGGAUAUAUAAAUCAGUUUGAUGAAUCUUUUUUAGAAGGUAAAAGAUGUCAAAUGUCAACAAGAGGGCAGCACUUCGCAAUAUAAUUCCCUGCAAAUAUUUAUCUGUAAUGAAAAUUUAAUUUAAUAUAUUGCGUCCUCAAAGAAUUUCCUCCAAUUCGUGAAGCAUUUACUUUAAUUUUCAAUUUUCAAUAAAAUGAAUAUUUCACCGAUGAUUAGAUUAAAUUAAGUAACAUUGACUGAUCUAUAUAUAUAUAUAACUGUAUAUGUAAUAAAAUUUUAGAUAAGAUUUCAAGUUUAGGUUAGGUUAAGUUGAGUGAUAUUGAUACUUUCAUAUAUAAUAGAUUUAUGAUAUGAUAAUAUUUCAUAGAUUUUAUUAAGGUUUUUUAUUAUUAAGGUUAGAUUAAGUGGCUGAUCUUAAAAUAUUCGCAGUAAAGAAGAAAGAAAAAUACAUCAAACUUAUUACGCGUUGCGUUUACGAUAUCUACUUUCGUCGCUUUAAUGUAUGAUGGAACAUCAAAGGAAAGAAGAAAGGAAAAUAUGGCACGAGCACAAAUCACGCGACGGAAGACGAGCAUGAAAAUCGUUAACAGCAAGCAACUGCGUGCCAAUUUGGCUCUUACUUUAAACACGGCAAACAUCCAGCUUGUUACACUAAUUAUAACAUCGACCCGUUUCUGUUUUCCGAUCUAUUCUGCGAUUCAGCCUUCCCCCGGUUCCCGCUGGAAAUCGUUACUCUUCUUGGUACUACACGUUUCCACGUUUCGAAUUCGAUUCGACACAGAAUUUCGAUAUGUCGUUCGAUAAAUGGAUCGUGUACUGGCCAGAAAGUGAUAUUAAUUAGCGAUAAUAAUACAACCAAACUCCUCCAUGUCGUUCAUUUGUAAUGAUAUUUCCAUUUCCUAAAUCAUGAUUUAUUGUAAGAAUUGGGUUGUUUGAAUUGUGGGAAACAACGAAUUUUCACGUGGUUAUUAUACGAUAUAUUUAAAAAAAAAAAGACUACAUAAUAAAAUAAUAUAUCAAAUCAAA